rnacentral:rRNA from 1 species
GUGCCAGCCGCCGCGGUAAUACGUAGGGGGCGAGCGUUGUCCGGAUUUAUUGGGCGUAAAGAGCUCGUAGGCGGCUUGGCAAGUCGGGUGUGAAACCUCCAGGCUCAACCUGGAGACGCCACUCGAUACUGCUAUGGCUAGAGUCCGGUAGGGGACCACGGAAUUCCUGGUGUAGCGGUGAAAUGCGCAGAUAUCAGGAGGAACACCGGUGGCGAAGGCGGUGGUCUGGGCCGGCACUGACGCUGAGGAGCGAAAGCGUGGGUAGCAAACAGGAUUAGAAACCCCGGUAGUCC